GUGCUCCAGGCUAAAUAUCUAUCACUUCAUCAAUCACUCUUCCGAUCUGUCAAGUUUCCCACAUUUGGGGAAAUCGCAGGGGUCAGCACAUCUGGAGUGCAAUGGAUAAGCCUCUCCCUGGGAAAAUCACCUUUGUGAUCAUGGUAUCUCUCCUGCAGG